rnacentral:rRNA from 1 species
UACGAAGGGGGCUAGCGUUGCUCGGAAUGACUGGGCGUAAAGGGCGCGUAGGCGGGUGCUCAAGUCCGGGGUGAAAUCCCACAGCUCAACUGUGGAACUGCCUCGGAUACUGGGUGUCUCGAGGGUGGCAGGGGUAUGCGGAACUAUCGGUGGAGCGGUGAAAUGCGUAGAUAUGCGGAGGAACACCGAUGGCGAAGGCAAUCCCCUGGGCCUGCACUGACGCUCAUGCACGAAAGCGUGGGGAGCAAACAGG